CAGUCGUACCUGCGGACAAUCAGCUUUUUGAGUGUGAUUAUGAGGAUUGUGAGGAGUUUAAUCCCCCUCAUGUUUUACGUAUUCGUGCCCUUGGGUGUACUUGCCCGUGUGGUAGGUUAACAUCAAUUUUGGUCGUCAUAAAAUGACUGGAGGAAUGUAGCUUUGGUCUCGUAUCGAAGUGUUAUAGACUCUGGUAGAUGUGACGAUUGGGGAUUGGAGGAUUGCAACGGGAUACCCUUCGGGGCUACUUGUCUGAUCUCUGAUUGUUGCUCUGGUGCCGAAAGCUUGCUUACGGUUAUCAAAGUCGAUGGUCAA
rnacentral:rRNA from 1 species